GGGGAUGAGAGACAUGACAGGGGCUCUGACAAUCAAAUGACAGAAGGGGACACAUUCUGAAUUUGGCCCAUGAAGUUCCCACUUACACUGGACACGUGCCAAGAGCUUCCUUCAUUUUUAUGCCUGAUGCUGCUGGUGAAAACUUUGUUAAAAGUUAUUUCUGAAUAUUUAAUAAAUAUUAUUUCAAUAUUGUGAGUCAUUAGAAUGAAUGGUUUGUGCUAUGUGCUGGCACAGUGUGUUCCUCCUUUAUGCACAUGUGCCAAGUGUGCAGAUUAAUAGAUGUGGCUAUGUGAAGGAGGAGGAAUGUGCUUCCCAUUCUGCUGACAAAAUGCUCCUUUGGAUGAGAAUUUAAUUUGGAUGAGACAUGAAACUGGCUUCCUUUCUGCCCAUCACUGAUGACUGGAUGCCAGUGAAAGACCCCUUACUACUGUUCUAACAAAGCUACAAGCCUAUUUAUAGAAGCAUAUAUUUUACUCAUGUUACCAAAUGCUUGGAAAAAGAGGAAGUGGAGACAGGGCCGGCUCCAGGCACCAGCCGACCAAGCGUGUGCUUGGGGCGGCUCCUGGAUUGCAACAUUUCCUUUUAGUGAAGAAACAGGCAACCUUGAAGGAAAGGAGUCAAUGGAGACAAUAACAGAGUGAGACUGGUGGUUUGCGCAAAAAGGAAACAACUAGUCUUUCAAUAUGCCACAUAUCCAGUAAAUCAUGAGAAUGAUUGAAUCCUGGAGUCUUUAUUCAGCUCUUAAUUCAACCAGAAUCAAAGCUCUGAUCCCACAGCUGGACCCAAGUGGAGAAGACCCCUGUGCCUGCACAGAACCAGUUGCAGGAUUGGGUCCCACAUUCAGAAAACUGAACACCACACUACAAGGCUAAUCCAAGAACACAAUUAAUAUAACAAUUGGAAAAAAAAUAACAUUUUGAAAGCAUCCUCUUUCUCCACUGUUUUCUAGGAGUAGAGAGGUUAUUUUACCUUUAUAUUUUGCACUGGUACAACUGCUUCUGCUAUACUGUGUCCAAUUCUGGUGCCCACAAUUCAGGAAGGAUGUUGAUAACUGGAAACAGAGAAGAGCCACAAGAAUUAUUAAAGGAUUAGAAAACAUACCUUGUAGCGAUCGAGCUCUUUGAAUCUAUCUAUUUGGGUUAACAAAGAGAAGGGUAACUUGAUUACAAUCUGUAAGUAGCUACAUGGGGCACAAAUAUUUAAUAAUGGGCUCAUCCACCUACCAGAGAAAAGCAUAAUAUGAUCCACUGGCUGGAAGCAGAAGUUAGACAAAUUCAGAUUGGGAAUAAGGCAUAAACUUUUAAUGGUUAAAGUAAUUAACCACUGGAACAAUUUAUCAAGGGUCAUGGUGGAUUAUCCAUCACUGUCAGUUUUUUAAAAUCAAGAUUGGAUGUUUUUCUAAAAGAUCUGCCCUAGGAAUUAUUUGGGCAAAGUUCUAUGGCCUGUGUUAUACAGGAGAUCAGUCUAGAUCAGGGGUAGGCAACCUAUGGCACGUGUGCCGAAGGCGGCACGCGAGCUGAUUUUCAGUGGCACUCACUCUGCCUGGGUCCUGGCCACCAGUCCGGGGGGCUCUGCAUUUUCAUUUAAUUUUAAAUGAAGCUUCUUAAGCAUUUGAAAAAAACUUAUUUACUUUACAUACAACAAUAGUUUAUUUAUAUAUUAUAGACUUAUAGAAAGAGACCUUCUAAAAACGUUAAAAUGUAUUACUGGCAAGCAAAACCUUAAAUCAGAGUGAAUAAAUGAAGACUCAGCACACCA
rnacentral:lncRNA from 1 species